rnacentral:tRNA from 1 species
AACAAUGUGGCAAGAGCACUAGAUUUGGAGUCUGGGGACAUGGGUCCAAAUCUUAUCAUUGUCA